AGCAGUUUCCACAGCCCCAGCGGAGCCCCAUUGCUGCCACCUCGGUUCCUGAAAACCUCCCGGCCGGCUUCCAUCCCCUCUGCUGGCUAGCGGACUGUGAGACCAGACUCGGCUCCACUGGAUAUACUCUCAUCUUUACAA